rnacentral:rRNA from 1 species
AGAGUUUGAUCCUGGCUCAGAUUGAACGCUGGCGGCAUGCCUUACACAUGCAAGUCGAACGGCAGCAUGGAGAGCUUGCUCUCUGAUGGCGAGUGGCGAACGGGUGAGUAAUACAUCGGAACGUGUCCGUUUGUGGGGGACAACCGUCCGAAAGGAUGGCUAAUACCGCAUAAGACCUGAGGGUGAAAGCCGGGGACCGCAAGGCCCGGCGCAGACGGAGCGGCCGAUGAUUGAUUAGCUAGUUGGGGAGGUAAAGGCUCACCAAGGCGACGAUCAAUAGCUGGUCUGAGAGGACGACCAGCCACACUGGAACUGAGACACGGUCCAGACUCCUACGGGAGGCAGCAGUGGGGAAUUUUGGACAAUGGGGGCAACCCUGAUCCAGCCAUGCCGCGUGCGGGAAGAAGGCCUUCGGGUUGUAAACCGCUUUUGUCAGGGACGAAAAGCUCCGGAGUAAUAUGCCGGAGUGCUGACGGUACCUGAAGAAUAAGCACCGGCUAACUACGUGCCAGCAGCCGCGGUAAUACGUAGGGUGCAAGCGUUAAUCGGAAUUACUGGGCGUAAAGCGUGCGCAGGCGGUUGGGUAAGACAGAUGUGAAAUCCCCGGGCUUAACCUGGGAACUGCAUUUGUGACUGUCCGACUGGAGUACGUCAGAGGGGGGUGGAAUUCCACGUGUAGCAGUGAAAUGCGUAGAUAUGUGGAAGAACACCGAUGGCGAAGGCAGCCCCCUGGGACGCAACUGACGCUCAUGCACGAAAGCGUGGGGAGCAAACAGGAUUAGAUACCCUGGUAGUCCACGCCCUAAACGAUGUCUGCUGGUUGUUGGGAAUUUAAUUCUCAGUAACGAAGCCAACGCGUGAAGCAGACCGCCUGGGGAGUACGGUCGCAAGAUUAAAACUCAAAGGAAUUGACGGGGACCCGCACAAGCGGUGGAUGAUGUGGAUUAAUUCGAUGCAACGCGAAAAACCUUACCCAGCCUUGACAUGUCAGGAAUGCCUCGGAGAUGAGGCAGUGCCCGCAAGGGAACCUGAGCACAGGUGCUGCAUGGCUGUCGUCAGCUCGUGUCGUGAGAUGUU